rnacentral:rRNA from 1 species
AGUGAACGCUGGCGGUAGGCCUAACACAUGCAAGUCGAACGGCAGCACAGUAAGAUCUUGCUCUUACGGGUGGCGAGUGGCGUACGGGUGAGGAAUACAUCGGAAUCUACUUUUUCGUGGGGGAUAACGUAGGUAAACUUACGCUAAUACCGCAUACGACCUACGGGUGUAAGCAUUGGAUCUUCUGACCUUGCGCGAAUGGAUGAGCCGAUGUCGGAUUAGCUAGUUGGCGGGGUAAUGGCCCACCAAGGCGACGAUCCGUAGCUGGUCUGAGAGGAUGAUGAGCAACACUGGAAGUGAGCCACGGACAAGGCUCCUACGGGAGGCAGCAGUGGGGAAUAUUGGACAAAGGGCGCAAGCCUGAUCCAGCGAUACCGAGUGGGUGAAGAAGGCCUUCGGGUUGUAAAGCCCUUUUGUUGGGAAAGAAAAGCAGCAGGUUAAUACGACGCUGUACUGACGGUACUCGAAGAAUAAGCACCGGCUAACUUCGUG